rnacentral:rRNA from 1 species
CACGCCCUAAACGAUGUCAACUGGUUGUUGGGUCUUCACUGACUCAGUAACGAAGCUAACGCGUGAAGUUGACCGCCUGGGGAGUACGGCCGCAAGGUUGAAACUCAAAGGAAUUGACGGGGGCCCGCACAAGCGGUGGAGUAUGUGGUUUAAUUCGAUGCAACGCGAAGAACCUUACCUGGCCUUGACAUGUCCGGAAUCCUGCAGAGAUGCGGGAGUGCCUUCGGGAAUCGGAACACAGGUGC